AAAAAAAGAUGACGAAAAA
rnacentral:sRNA from 1 species